rnacentral:lncRNA from 1 species
AUAACUUUUGAUGAAAGCAGAUUAUGACUUCAAUGAUAGAAUAUUUUAAAAUGGGUCGAUUUAGGAAGAUUGUGUUUUUAAUUACAAUUAUAGCAUUUGUUGGAAUUUUUCUUUUAUUUCAAACUGGAAAUAAACAAAACACACGUAAAACCAAUGUAGAGUCUAUGUUUGUUGAAGAAAAUUUUGAUGAAAACGACUUGACUGAAGAAGAAAAAAAGCACAGGAACAUGUUGAAAACAGGAAAAUUGAAUAUACCAGAACUUGGACUAAAUUUUAUAGAAAACAUGGAACACAAUAAAAAGGUGAUUGAAACGAGGGAUGUUCACUCUGCAUCAUCUGCCUUAUUAUAUAUAAGGCAUUUGUUUCCUGUGAAAGGGGAGGAUGUCACAAAACCUUUAGAAUACUUUAUGAUAUGUGUUGACAACAGAUUUGAAUAUAUCAGGGGGUCCCUGAUUCCUUCUUUCAUGCUCCCGCAUCCCACUCCUUAAACUCCCAGACCAAAAUUGAUAAAAAAAUAAUUACCAAGAAUUUGUCCAACAAAUACAUUUUGACUUUUAAAAUUGGGAGUACAAUUUAUAAAAGUUUAAAUGCAAAGCAAAAGCACACAUAUUUGAAUUUUAAUCUUGAAUACCCUUAAAUUACUCUCUGGUCUUAACCAUCAAUUUAUUUAAGUUCUACAUGCCCUAUCAUCCCUUAUGACCAGACCCACUUUAAUUUGGUGUCUGCAAGUAAAAUUUUCCUAAUAAGAGGCAUAAUAAGCCAUGAAAAUUUUAUAUAAUUUUACGAACAACUGUUUUUAUGGGCUUGUACAUUUUUUUUUGAAUCAGUUAAGAUUUGGUGAAGUAUGAGUACAGUGCACGUGGAGUCCCAGGUGUCCGUGCAGCCAGUAAUACCGCGCAUUAGCUGAUUUCGUCAUAUCAACGCAGUAACACGAAAAAAAUGGUUCUUGUUAUUUAUUUAGCUUUCUGAUGGGAUAAAAAAAAGAUUAAAAUUGAUAAGUUCAAGAGUGUCUGUUAAAUAAUAACUGAAAUCCCAUGAUUUUCAAUAUUUGGUCAAUUUCCAUUAAAAAAUUACUUCAUUAGAUAAAAUUUGUUUUAUUUAAGUCAAAUUGAUAUCAGAUUGAAAUAAUAUUUGCUCUGCAUCCUUGGCAGUGUGCUUAGUUCAAAUUCAGCUAUAUUUAGUAUUAUAAAAUCAUUCCUUUAAUCAAAAUUAAAUGUAGCUAUUUUUGGAAGGCAUGCACGAAAUUGCCAGACAUUGGUGAAACUCUCAGAACAGGGGUUUCCCUAAUUUUGGACACAUAUUACACAUAAUUUUGAGGGUGAAACCAUACAAACAGAAGAUUUAAUGAAAUAAAAGUAUGUUAUGAAUGUACAUGUAUUCACACAAUAUUAUCCAAUUAUUGGUUUUACCAGUUGAAUGAAGUGAAGGUGUGCAGAUACAUGUACACCGGACUGCACCAUAACUAAAUUUUUAUAAAUGUAUAUUUAUAAAAACCUCAAAGAUAGAUAUUGAUGCUGACAUACAUUUUGUACAUGUAUAUAAGUACAUCAGUAUGAUAGACAUUUUGUACAUGUUAUCAUCAUUUAAUUCAUUUUUCAUUAAAAGGUCAUGUACAAGUCAGUGCAAAUUUCACAUUCACAAUUUAUAAUUUGUGAAGAGCUGCAACUCAGAUUUUUAUACAUGAUCAUUGAAUUUCAUGUCUUUUUUUAUGUUUCAGAAAGCUACCACAACACCUAAACCACCAUUUAAGCCAGAAUUAAUGUUGAUGAAAAAUCCUCCAAUAUUUCUCACAAAGAAUAUGUCAGAUGGCAUGGUAGAAGAGAAUUUUUUUAAGUAAGAAAUACAUGUCUAAUAAUAUUGGAAUAAGAUUUGCUUCUACAAUAAGAAUAUUGACUGUAAAUUUGAAGCAUUGACCAAGACUAUAAGUUUAUUAGCAGUUGCUUAAUUCAAAUUUGACUUCUUUGCAAACAAAAUUUAGCCAAUCCAAAUGUUUAAAGAACACAUCAAGUAAAUCAGUCAUGUUUUCAGUAUUAUUAUAAAGAACACAUACUUUUCAAGUUUAGUGACAGAUUUUUGCCAAAAAAAUGUUUUGAAGUUCAAAGACUUUAAAGGAAUAGUUUUAAAAGAUGUAGACUACAUGUUAUAUGUUGUUUUUGUUACAGUUACUUAGAAACAAAAGAUGUAAUAUGUAAAAAUGAUGAGAGGGUAGGGUUUCAACAUGAUGGUGGAUGGAAUGUUUGUAUGUCUCCUCCAUUUGGAUUUCAUGAACCAUGUAUUGUUUACUCAUUUGGGUAAUUAUUAUUUAUACAAUGUAUCAUGUUAACAUCAUAAUAUAUUUCUUAUUCAUCUUAUUUUAACUUUUAAUUUAGGUAAUUUAAAACUAUGAAUUUAAGAUAAAUUUUAACGAUUUAAGUGGCAAAAUGUUUGUAUUAUAGGAUUAAAUAACAAUAGAUGUGGUUUAACAAGAAGACAAACAUUUUCCACUGGGAGGAGGGGGGGAUACAUGUUACUGCAUGUAUUAACCAAACAAAUCACUAUAAUUAUGAUGUAGAAACUUAGUCUAUUUGAGAACAGGGUUCUCGCUAAGGAUUUUUAAGGUGAGUCCAGGGACUCAUCAUUUUUGGCCAUGGUGAGUCCAACAGCAAGAAAUAGAUAUUUUAUUGCAAUAUUAUGUAAUACUUUAGUCUCCAUGGCCUAACAGAGCAAUGAAAUGACAUCAAAUUAAGAUUGCUUUUAAACUUUUGCUAUAAAAUGAUGAUAUUUAUGUUUAACUGUGUUUAGUUUAUACAAAAUAUUUCAAGCUUAAUGCAUCUGUGGACUCACCAGUUUUGAAAAUGGUGAGUUCAGACAGAUUUUGAUGAGUCCAGGACUCAUGGACUCACCUUAGCGAGAACCCUGGAGAAAAUAAGAAGUAACCACAAAUGCAGUGGAAAAUAGACGCCCAGAAAUACAAGGAAAGCCAACACAUUGAUAAAGGCCAACAGAACUAAACAAGGGAAAUGAAAUAUCAAGUAACACAAAUCCUACUAAAAAACAGAAAUGAAGGCAGAUACACUGAUAAUAAACAGUUCCCACUGCUCUGGUGGCAUACACCAUGGCAUAUUUUAACACUGUAUCUUGAAAAGUCAUUCAGUCAGGAUUUUUCUUGGAAUAUUAUUGAAUGAUUAUUCUUUAAAUAUAUCUACAUUUGUAAAGAAUACACAUAAAAUUCUGAAAUAAACAAUAUCUACUAUUAUAAAUGACAAAUGUCUCCCUUUGUGAGAUUAAAAAAAUUAAAGAAUCUUCCAUAUUACAAAUGUAUUAAUUAAAGUUUAAUAUUAUAUAUUUAUAGAAUAGGUAAUGAUUGGAGAUUUGACAGAGUAUCGGCCAGAAUAUAUAAUUGUACAGUGUAUUCAUUUGAUCCUAGGUAAGAAAACUAUAGGUACUGUAAAUUCAGAAAUUAUUGUGAGGUUUUUAUUAUUGCGAAAAAUGCGACAGAGUUGUAAAGGCAAUAAUUUGAACUCGCAUUUUGAAAUAUUUCAUAUGAAUUAAACAGAAUUUUUUCUAAAAAUUGAAAAUUUUAAAUUGCAUUUAAGUCUAAAAAGACAAAAUCGCAAUAAAUGCACACAAUAAUUUGUAAAUUUACAGUACUUGAUUUUUCCAGAUUAUUCUAGAAUAUAGACAAGUAUAUAUAUAUAUAUAUAGCUUACUUGUUUCAAGUAUACAUUUUAAAAUUCUGUAAAGUUCAUAAACUAUCUGUAUCCAACCAUGAAAGUUUUGUAUUAGUUUAAACAUAUUUUCAUGAUUUUAUUUGCUGAAUUAAAGCAAAACGGAUAAGACACGAGUAAAUCAUACUUAUAAAGUCUCCUCCAUAAGUUUUGUAUUUGACUUGCAUAAUGAUUAAAAUUAAGAAAUAAAUUAUUCAUAGGGGCUUGAAUACUGCUUUAACCACAGGUUGGCCCUAAUGCUAAAUAUUUUAUUACAAGCGACAGACCUCUACAGUAACAUAGAAAUCUUUGCUUCCUUAUUUUUCCAUAGACCAACAUUUUAGAAACACACCCUUUUGUCAUAUCUACAAGGAUUGCUCAUUUGUUACUUCCGAGAUGAAUGUUGAAUGAACAUUAGAAAAAAGUUGCAUUUUCUCUCUGAUUCUCAAGAUCUUACUUUGCAUAAAAGAGAUUAUAAAAAUAUAUUGUAUUACAGCUAUUUUUUUGAUGCAUGUAGUUUAAAGGAUAGGUUGGCUUCAGGGUUGGCAAAGUAUUACCCAGUUUUAGGUUUGAAAUAGAUUACAGCUAUUUUCCUUAUGCAUGUAGUUUAAGGUUGGCUUGCUUGUUUUGGUUGUAUGACUGUUUGCACAAGCAUUGUAAUUAAGUUGUACAAUUGCAAUCAAUAUUUAUGGGUAGGCUUUGGCUUGUAUAAUACUUUUUGAUGCUUGAGCCAACAUUUAUACAAAAAAGGCAAGCAAGCCAACUAAAUCUUUAAACCACACACAUUAGGAAAAUAGCUGUAUUGUUAUUAUGAUAGAACAACUGGUUUUAGUUCUGACUUGUAAAAUAACUUGAUUACAAAUAUGUUUGCAGUAUACCAAUACCUACUGAGAAAUUACAUCCUAGAAUACACUUUGCACAAGUUGGUAUUGCAGGGAGAAAUGGUAAAGGAUUAAAAACAUUUUCAACUAUACUGAGAGAACAUGGUCAUUCUGACGUAAGUAACUAAACUAUUUAUAGAUUAUUUGUAAACUUUGAACUUUUUUUUUUUCUUUUUAUCUUCCAAACUUUUAUAUGUAUGUUAUUAUACUUUUAAAAGUCCUUAUAAUCACACAAUUUUGCUUACAUGAUAAAAACUAAAGAGUUCUUUUUACUAUUGGCAUAGAUUAAUCAACGAUAGACUUUAAAUAGUAAAAAUCAUCCACAAGGCAAAAUAUCUAAACCGUUAAUCAAAUCUGUUUAGGAGUUACAGCCCUUGAAUGAAAUUGUUAACACAUUUUACUUACUUACAUUUAUUUAUAUAUGGUGAACCAACACCUAAAGUCAACCACAUGAACUGCCAAAUUUGUACUUCACUGUUUGAAUUCAUAUGUAAUAUUGUCAUGAAGACCCAACACUUGAUAGUGAAACAUGUCGACCAGAAUAAAAACUUACCUUGCUUUAAUAAAGACAACAACAUCGAUCAAUUACCAUGCAGUAAUUCGGUAAUUUAUGGGUGUUGUUGUCUUUGUUAUCAUUUUAUUUUCAUUUAGAAUAAUUAACAUAUCUAACUUGAAUACAUUUAAUGUUUGUUUUGUAGACCGUGAUUGACUACCUGAAGUUUGACAUUGAAUACAUGGAAUGGGCUGUACUAGAAAAUCUACUGAGGGAGAAGUCAUUUAAGAAUGUAAAACAGAUUGGUUUUGAAAUUCAUACAAAUGAAUUUUAUCAACAUUUUAAGAAGCUCAAAGAUGUAAAAUUCAAUUCAGGAAAAGACGAUUUUCUUUAUAUGUACCAUACAAUUAGAAAGUUAGAAGAUUAUAAUUUCAGACAAUUUAAUUAUCGAUUAAAUCCUUUUGGAGAAUAUGGUUCUCCUAUCACUAGGAAGAAAAGGUCUUGUUGUUAUGAAUUACAUUUUUUGAACAUGAAUUUUGUGACACCAAAUUACAC